AAUUAUGUGCCUACCGGGUAAUGUCCCUUGAACUAUAGGUGAACUGGCACACCCAGUUUAAAAGAUUUUGGAUUAUUGCCAGGGAUGGCGGAAAGUACGUGGCUGGAAGAUGGUGGGUUGUAAAAUAUGUGCCUCCAGGCAAUGCCCCUUGAACUGUAGAUGAAGGGUGAAGCCGUGGAGUCCCGUCCAUGUGCCCAAGAGGGUGGAACCGCGCCCACAUGCCUGAGCUUUUUAGGGUGGAACCGUGGCGCUGCGGCCACGUGCCUGAAAGGUGAUAGCCAAUUCAGGCUCCCUCGUCGGGACCUGAACCUAUUUUGGGGAGUGAUGUACUAGUAGAGAAAACCUCACUCCUCUAGGGCUGCUUGACCCACCGGCUAUUGGGUCCAACAAGUCCAGGUUAAGAGCGCGGUACUCUUUUGCCGGCACAGACUAGGCUUGAUGCUUUGUCAGUCUCCGUCAGGGAGCAUCAGCAAAGGGCUACCAGCACCUAGUCGCUAGAGACACGUGAGCGAGACCCUGUCAAACUCAUGAUUAUCUGACCAGGCCCCCAUUAUGUUACCAGACUUCCGAUAACUGACGGUCAGGCGUCGCAAUUCUCAUGUUGCUUCACACGCCCACGAGCAGUGCAGGUCAUCUCCCCCACGCUUCCUGUCAGCUUCAGCUGCCGUGCUAGGCACCGUGCGGUUCAAGCAGACACCUGCCAUCUCCUGCCGGCCUUUUAUUGAAUCGCUGGCCCACUCACCUACACGAUGACCCCCGUUUCUAUGCAGUUGCUUCCGACAUAUGGCUCUCAGCCCUAACAUGUCGGCAAGCUCUCGCUAACCAAUGGCUGGGCGUUGCAUUCUUACAGGUUGCAUUAAUACGUUCCCGAGCAUGACAGGUUCUUAUCCUCACGUACUCCGUCAUUCUAGACCGCCGCUACGCGACGGCCGGGCUUAUCUUUGAAAUUGUCAGCCCCUUCACCUGCACGGAUGAUCUCUCGCAAUGUCGAGGCCAAGGUCCCACGAUACCCCGGGGGGGGGGGGGGCCACUUCCAUUGACGAGUGGAUACCAUGCGCGACCAUGAGAUCUCAAAAAGCACCCUAAACUCGUAUAUUCCAUAUUCUGAAAAUGCACCCCUUAACUAUUAUUGGCGUGUGAAACCCUACCCUUAACAAGUAUUGGAAACAAAACGAUACUGUUGGCAAGUAUUCCCUGAAUGGAACCCCUAAACAAGUACAGCAAUAUAAUUAAGUUGUUAUGUCACAGACGUCGGACUCGGUCGUCAGUUUUACCUUUUUUACCUACAUCAUUGGGUUUAAUACAGCCCCACUCGCGCAAAUCAUACUAUAAACACGUAGUCAUGGUGUUGAUUCUUGGGGCAAAAAAUACAUCCUUUAAAAAACAUUUGUCUUGAUUUUUUAUACCCUCGCAAAUUCGACCCUAAACACGUAGCUUUCCUAUCGAAAAUAGAUACCCUUUUUUCAUUAUUUUAGUGUUUUUGACACCCUUAUUACGUUACGUACGUAAAGUGCCCUAUCUUGAAAAAGACAUCCUUUUUACGUGUUUUUUUGGUUGCGCAUGGUAUCCACUCGUCAAUGUAAGUGGCCCCCCCGGGCACGAUACUAAAAGUAUUGCUACUUCUUGGGCUCUCUUCAAUGGAGUCAUCUUAGACGACAUCUUGAGGGCUGCCUUUGGCGUUCUCCUAAUUCCUUCACUUCCUUUUACUUAAAGGACAUUCCUUUGGCUGAGCUCUGCCUUUAAGGCAGCGGCUUCCGUGUCUGCAUCUCCCUAUUUUUUGCACACUUUUCUUUUAUUCUAGACAUAUGCCUCCCUUCACGUUAAGUUUGUGUUGGUCUAGCAAGUUAAAUGAAUAUAUCCCAGUUAUUGACAGUAAAUUAUGAAAAUACUUACCGUUAUUUUCUUAUUUACGAGAUAACUGGAUAUAUUCAUUUGAACCCUCCCACCGGCCCCUCACCUUGGGUGGCAACAUGUCUUGCGUUCAGGCCAAAGACCUUAUAAUAUAUUACUAGACCGAAAGCUGCGUGCGCGUUCAGCACAAAACAAAUGAGAUUAGGCUCCGCCUACCGCGAUCAUUUGAAGACAAAAAUAAGCCCUCAUUGAUAUUCAUGAGCAUGAAGAUAUUCAUAAUCCGGCCUUUUCAUUGGCUAAGAGCGUCAUUAUACGCGAUUUCCCUGAUUCUUUGUCAUCGAUACUAGUGGUAUCGUGUUACAGAAUUAAUUAUUCAUUUGACCUCAUUACGUCAUCUAAUUUAUUCAUUCUGAAACUUUUCUUUCCACACAAAAAUGGACCUACGAACACUCCGGUUGAGUUUGAAGAACAAGAAAAACAGUAGAGGUCUACCCGGUACCUAUGGUUAAACAUGAUGAUCAUAAGUGCAUGCAUCAUUUUGCAGAUUCUCAUCCAGGAUGAUGCAGCUCUACAAUUUCCAAUAGGUGAUUGAUGAUGAUAAACAAUUGGUGAAGUAGGCCUAAUAGAACAGUGAUAGGACCACAAAGAGAAAUUCAACCUACAGCAGUUAUAUGAGACUGGUGUAACAGAUGUUUUCAUUCAAGAAAUCCAACAAAUUGAAGAGUGACUUAGCUUAGGAAGCACUUGAUAAUGAUGGAAAAGGUUCUUUUUUUCAAGUCCAAUUUUUUUUAAUUUUAAUUAUUAUCACAACCCCAAAUUCAUGAAGUAUGAAAUUUCCUGUUGAAUUUCAUUAAAACUGGUUGCAAAAGGAGAAGCUAUAAACAUUCAAAUAGGAGCGGUGAAGUGAAGUUGAAAGUGGGGGGGGGGGCACAGGGAAAAUGCUGUAUUAUGUCAAAUUUUUAAGAAGUUGAGAGAGCAAAAUUUUGACAUUUUUAAAAAGAAAAUCCAAUUUUGUGAUAGAUUUCGACAAAAUAUUCAGAAUGAUAUAUUUCACCCUUUUUUUUGGGGGGGGGGGGCAAGAGUCCUUCAAGCCCCCCCCCUCCAUCUGUAGUGUACGAAACUGCUUAUCUACCCCCACUCACAUGAAUUAUUAAACUUAAUGCACAAAGAAUUUCCUUAUUGUUUUCUUGUUUCAAAGGGCACUCGUCAUGGUGACCAUAAAACGGGUCCUUCUCAGGUGAAAGGGGCACAGAACAAGUUCUUUAGGAGCACUUUUCUUGGGUAAAAGGGGGCAGUUAUUCGAGAAAGGGCACUUACAAGAAGGCGAGGGGGCACUUUUUAACACAUAAAACGGGCCCUCAGAUGAAAGGGCACAGAACACGUUCAGGGGGGCAUUUUUUGGUAAAAAUUUGCAUACAAGGAAGAGCACUUGGUAACACCUAAAACAGGUUCUCGUCAGGUGAAAGGGACACAGUACACGUUCGUGAGGGGGCAUUUUUCUGACAUAAAAUUAAAGGCACUUUUCAGUGCUUCAAAAAGUAGGUGGAACUGUGCCCCCCAGGAUCGCUGCCCCUGCAUACAAAAAACAUUUUCGUUCGAUUCAAAGUAUUAACAUACGCUUAAGAAAAAAAGUAAGGCUAAAUCCUCUGAUAAUGUGAUAUUUUUUCUGGCUAUUAAUAAAAUUCACAACUAACCAGAAAAUGCCUUCAUGUCUUUCAUUUGUAUUCAUAUGGUAUUUGUACAGAGCU